ACACAAAACAAGGACUGUUUUUACAGAGGAGAACACAUACAUCUUUGUAGCAGCUGCUCCUGGAGAACCAGGGAGCUGGCAGGGCUCAAAGUGAGGAAAGAAAACGGAGAAUGAGGAGCUAGGAAAAAGUCCAGAAGUUAGCUGCCAAGCUGCAGAGAGAGGAAAAAAAAUUACCAGGAAAAAAAACCAUGAAAGUGACCUUUUACAUAAAAGACAGCUCUGGACAAGAAAGGAAGGAAGAAGGAACAAUAGAGCCCAAGAGACAGAUGAACAAGAUCAGAGCUGCAAGGAUGAUUUGAGGGAGCUAAAGGGAGGAAGAAGUGGCAAAUAAAACCACCACUGUGGCCUAACCUGUGAAGAAAACCACUCAUAUACAGAAAGAAAACCAAGCUGAAUGCAGUUCUCUGUGAAAAGCCACCCCUCCCUCAAAAGCCCACAGAAGCUUUUGCCUCCCCCAACAAAGUAAUGAAAAUUCUGGACAUGACAUAGACAGUUUGCAUGCCAUUGUUUAGCUUAAAACAUUCAAGAGAUUCAGCUUCCAGAAGGCUAUAGUUAUAAACUCAAGGCAGACAUUAAGUGUCCCUGAUGCUUGGAGGCAUUUCAGCUGCUUUUUCCCUUAAUGAAGAGGAAUUGCUUAGCAUGCUCUGGGAGAAACAUGUAUUUUUUUAACAUUGCACAUGACUGUUCUUCACUCAUUCAGGUUACAAACCAGCAUAUUGCUCAAACUGCAGGGGCAUUUCAGGAACUCUGUUCUCAGUCCAUUUGUACAAGCUGUCCAGUCAUACGCAAAUCAUACAGUUCAAGUGUUGCCUAUGAGCUGCUAUGAAACACGCGGCUCCUCUGUCUCUCUGCAAAAGGCAAAGAAAAAGCAGCAGACUCCUGGGCUUUGAAACUGUUAGGAAUCAUAAUCCUGUGAUGCAGUUAGCAGCUGCAGAGUUAACCCACUGCAGGAUCUCCAAAGGAGACUCACAGGACAGAUAGCACAGAUAAAGGAUCUUCAAAGCUAAAGGGCUGUGGGUUUCAUUCUGUGACUUUCCAUAAGCAUUCAGCUCAUUCCUUCCUUUGAGCUGACCAAAAUAUAAAGUGCAAACAUCUUAAGCAAAAUUGCAAGGUAAUUAACCAUAUGGAAGCUCCAGCCCUAACGUGCAGUUGAAUCACUAGACCUGUUAAUACCUUUCCACACCACUAUUUGGCUUUCAAGAGGUUUCUAUGCAUCCACUUGUUCCUACCACUGGCUCACAGGGUACAAACUGUGGAUUUAAGGUUGAAAUUAAAUAAUUAUCAAAACGUAGAGACAUUUGUUUGGUUGUUUUGUUUCAUUUCAGAGCAAAAAGCACUGAAGAUGGACUCUAGUAAUGAUUCGUUUUCUUUCUCUACUCUCUUUCUUUCUCAACUAAUCCUAUGCCAUCUUCAUGG